rnacentral:rRNA from 1 species
UGCCUGCCCAGUGAUCAGUAUUAAAUUGAUUAAACGGCUGCGGUACUCUGACCGUGCAAAGGUAGCAUAAUCAUUAGCCUGUUAAUUCCAGGCUGGAAUCAAUGGCAAGACGAGGAGGAAGCUGUCUCUUUCUAUUUUUUUAGAAUUUUACUUUUUGGUGAAGAGGCCAAGAUAAUGAAGUGGGACGAGAAGACCCUAUUGAGCUUUAGCUUUUUCUUAAUAGAAAAUUAAGUUAGAAGUUUUGGUUGGGGCAACUAUUUUUUUAAUUAAACAAAAGUUAAUAGACUAUGAGUUGAUUCUACAUUUGACCCAGAAUUAAUAUUCUGGUAGAAAGAAAAAGUUACCAUAGGGAUAACAGCGUAAUUCUUUUUGAGAGUACAUAUUGACAAAAGAGUUUGCGACCUCGAUGUUGGAUCAAGUUUUCCUGAAGG